rnacentral:rRNA from 1 species
AGCAGCGAUGGACGUUGAAUGCACCAGUUCUCAAUGGAUCACUGAAGUUAAGCAACGUUUUGCGUGGUUGGUAUGUAUUCAUAUGGAUGACCAUCUGGCAAAGAGGCAAUCGCAUUCU